AGUGACCCCAGGUCAGGCAAGACUACCCGCUGUGUUUAA
rnacentral:rRNA from 1 species